AUUGAACGCUGGCGGCAGGCCUAACACAUGCAAGUCGAACGAGUGGCGGACGGGUGAGUAAUGUCUGGGAAACUGCCUGAUGGAGGGGGAUAACUACUGGAAACGGUAGCUAAUACCGCAUUCCAUCGGAUGUGUCCAGAUGGGAUUAGCGAGUAGGUGGGGUAACGGCUCACCUAGGCGACGAGCCCUAGCUGGUCUGGGAGGAUGACCAGCCACACUGGAAAUUGGACACGGUCCAGACUCCUACGGGAGGCCGCAGGGGGGAAUAUUGCACAAUGGGCGAAAGGCGGAUGCAGCCAUGCCGCGUGUAUGAAGAGGGCCUUCGGGUUGUAAAGUACUUUCAGCGUGGAGGCGUUAGUCGCAGAAGAAGCACCGGCUAACUCCGUGCCAGCCGCCGCGGUAAUAC
rnacentral:rRNA from 1 species